rnacentral:rRNA from 1 species
UACAGGGGGGGCAAGCGUUGUUCGGAAUUACUGGGCGUAAAGGGUCUGUAGGUGGCCAACUAAGUCAGACGUGAAAUCCCUCAGCUUAACUGGGGAACUGCGUCUGAUACUGGAUGGCUUGAGUGUGGGAGAGGAAUGCGGAAUUCCAGGUGUAGCGGUGAAAUGCGUAGAUAUCUGGAGGAACACCGGUGGCGAAGGCGGCAUUCUGGACCAUAACUGACACUGAGAGACGAAAGCCGGGGGAGCAAACGGG